ensembl:lncRNA
GUUGAGGUGGUAGGAGGCGGUGGAGGAUAGGGUGGAGGAGGUGGUGGAGGAGAUAGUGGAGGUAUUUGAGGAGAUGGUCAGAAACGUUCUCUCUCUCUCUCUCUCUCUCAAAACAUGUCCUUGUUGUGAAACAUUUUAACGCUUUCAAAGCUUUAGCUUUUCACCGAACUGACCAAAUCCGUUGUGAACCACAUAAGAAAUAUGAACUUGUAAGAUGAAGAUAAGAACUUACAUGGUGCCUGUCUAAUUUUCAUAUUUCUUAGAGGUUUUUUUCCACUAACAAAGAUUAUUACCUCAUCCAUUUUAUUGACAGAUUUUUUUCCAUUUUUAUUUUUAGGAAUAACUUAUCCAGUCUCUUAUCUUUUAGGUUUCUAACGGCCAAAACCAUUCUGCAGAACGAAACACUCUUUUUAAACGAUUGUGUAAGAGUCUAUGUGCUAUUCAUUACAAACGAUAGAAUAUUGGCGUGUUUUAAUGUUUGACCAGUAUUAGCUAAAUAACAAACCCUUUAAAAUUAUGACGUCUAGUUUCUUACGACUGCAGCAAAGUUUCAGACUCUCCUUGACAUGACCUCUGGCUCAGGAAGCAGUUCAAUCAGCUGUAUGACUGCAUCUAAUUAGUUUCAUUUAGUUGACAUCCCAGUUCAAAUAAAUUAAUUUUACAAACUUAAAUAAAUUACUGAAUACAUUAUCAAUAUCUUCAUCAAUCCUUAUCAGGUUUUGGGGGAUCCGUUAAGAGCUUAUUUUUGUAUGCACUGAUGUUCAAGUUUACCAUAUGUAAAUAUUGCUUUGGAAAUUAUAAUUAUACUUUAUAAGGAUAAGUUAUUUCAUUUUUCAUGUCAAUGUUGUCCGUUUUGAUUAAGAUAUUGACUUUUAACGAUUGACUUUUGAUGUAUGAAGGAUUUACUAGAAGGAGUGCAUAAUAUUUUCAUGAUGCUGUUGCCAAAUUAUAUUUUGUAAAAAUAGGAAAAUAUACAGGAUAGAAACAUUAUUAGUAUUCUGUUCAACUGUGUUUAAUAUUUUUUGUAGAAUCAUAGCCUUUUUUUGUCAAUUUAGUAUAAUUUUAUGGAGUUCUGAAACACAUACAGUAUAAGCAAUUAGUGUCAUAAAUAAUUGCAAAUCCAACGUUAUGCCAGGUGAUUUUUUGUUGAAAUUUCUAUUUUUUGUUAGUUUGUUCUAUUUAUCUUGCUACUGCAUAUAUAAUUAAAAAUAUAAAAAUAUCAACAAAUAUCUUUGAUAAACCUUAAGCAGUUAUUCAGUAUUCUUUUAGGGUUUCUUUCAACAAUAUAUCCUUAUUUUUUUGGUGGGAAAUGUAUGUUUUCCAACUUAACUAUUCUUUAUGACAUAUUGCCGAUCUCGUGCACCCUAAUUUAUUCUGUGUAUUAUAUCAAUUACUGGU